rnacentral:rRNA from 1 species
GUGUCAGCAGCCGCGGUAAUACAGAGGUCCCAAGCGUUGUUCGGAUUCACUGGGCGUAAAGGGUGCGUAGGUGGUGAGGGAAGUCGGGUGUGAAAUCUCCGAGCUCAACUCGGAAACGGCACUCGAAACUCUCUUGCUGGAGGGUCGGAAGGGAGACUGGAAUUCUCGGUGUAGCGGUGAAAUGCGUAGAUAUCGAGAGGAACACCAGUGGCGAAAGCGAGUCUCUGGACGACACCUGACACUGAGGCACGAAAGCUAGGGGAGCAAACAGGAUUAGAUACCCUGGUAGUCCUAGCCGUAAACGGUGCGCAUUUGCCGUAAGAGGAAUCGACCCCUUUUGUGGCGCAGCCAACGCGUUAAAUGCGCCGCCUGGGAAGUACGGUCGCAAGAUUAAA